rnacentral:rRNA from 1 species
AUUGAACGCUGGCGGCAGGCCUAACACAUGCAAGUCGAGCGAGCGGCGGACGGGUGAGUAAUGUCUGGGAAACUGCCUGAUGGAGGGGGAUAACUACUGGAAACGGUAGCUAAUACCGCAUAACAUCCGAUGUGCCCCAAUGGGAUUAGCUAGUAGGUGGGGUAACGGCUCACCUUGGCGACGAUCCCUAGCUGGUCUGAGGGGAUGACCAGCCACACGGGAACGGGGACAGGGUCCAUACUCCGUGGGGAGGCAGCAGUGGGGAAUAUUGCACAAUGGGCGCAAGCCUGAUGCAGCCAUGCCGCGUGUGUGAAGAAGGCCUUCGGGUUGUAAAGCACUUUCAGCGGGGAGGCGUUACCCGCAGAAGAAGCACCGGCUAACUCCGUGCCAGCAGCCGCGGUAAUUC